CCAUCGGUGGUUCAGUGGUAGAAUGCUCGCCUGCCACGCGGGCGGCCCGGGUUCGAUUCCCUGGGCCGAUGCA